AUUGAACGCUGGCGGCAGGCCUAACACAUGCAAGUCGAACGAGUGGCGGACGGGUGAGUAAUGUCUGGGAAACUGCCUGAUGGAGGGGGAUAACUACUGGAAACGGUAGCUAAUACCGCAUACCAUCAGAUGUGCCCAGAUGGGAUUAGCUAGUUGGUGGGGUAACGGCUCACCAAGGCGACGAUCCCUAGCUGGUCUGAGAGGAUGACCACCACAAUGGGAACUGGGAAACGUUCCAGACUCUUACGGGAGGAAGAAGUGGGGAUUAUGGCACAAGGGCGCAAGCCUGAUGCAGCCAUGCCGCGUGUAUGAAGAAGGCCUGCGGGUUGUAAAGUACUUUCAGCGGGGAGGCGUUACCCGCAGAAGAAGCACCGGCUAACUCCGUGCCAGCAGCCGCGGUAAUAC
rnacentral:rRNA from 1 species